rnacentral:rRNA from 1 species
CUGGUGCUGAUACCCAAGAAAGAGGGAGCGACAACACCUUCUGAUUUUAGACUGAUCAGCUUGAUGCAUAGUGUUGCUAAAAUCAUCUGUAAGGUGCUUGCUAAUCGGCUGGGGCCUGAGCUACACAAAAUCAUUUCGGUCCCCCAAUGCGCUUUCAUUCGAGGCAGAUCCAUCCAAGAU